AAGCUUGCUUGUUGGGGUUGUAGGACACUCUAUACGGAGUUACAAAGGACGACAUUAGACGAAUCAUCUGGAAAGAUGAAUCAAAGAAGGUAAUAAUCCUGUAGUCGAAAAUGUUGUCUCUCUUGAGUGGAUCCUGAGUACGACGGAGCACGUGAAAUUCCGUCGGAAUCUGGGAGGACCAUCUCCUAAGGCUAAAUACUCUCUAGUGACCGAUAGUGAACCAGUACCGUGAGGGAAAGGUGAAAAGCACCCCGGAAGGGGAGUGAAAUAGAACCUGAAACCGUGUGCUUACAAGUAGUCAGAGCCCGUUAAUGGGUGAUGGCGUGCCUUUUGUAGAAUGAACCGGCGAGUUACGAUUUGAUGCAAGGUUAAGCAGUAAAUGUGGAGCCGUAGCGAAAGCGAGUCUGAAUAGGGCGUUUAGUAUUUGGUCGUAGACCCGAAACCAGGUGAUCUACCCUUGGUCAGGUUGAAGUUCAGGUAACACUGAAUGGAGGACCGAACCGACUUACGUUGAAAAGUGAGCGGAUGAACUGAGGGUAGCGGAGAAAUUCCAAUCGAACCUGGAGAUAGCUGGUUCUCUCCGAAAUAGCUUUAGGGCUAGCCUCAAGUGAUGAUUAUUGGAGGUAGAGCACUGUUUGGACGAGGGGCCCCUCUCGGGUUACCGAAUUCAGACAAACUCCGAAUGCCAAUUAAUUUAACUUGGGAGUCAGAACAUGGGUGAUAAGGUCCGUGUUCGAAAGGGAAACAGCCCAGACCACCAGCUAAGGU
rnacentral:rRNA from 1 species